rnacentral:lncRNA from 1 species
ACGGCUGCAUCCUGCUGUGUGUUGUCUCGAAGCAACAAGCGUGACAGAGGAGGAAGCAUGGCUGUGCUGGCCCGGGACCUGCGUGCUUCAGAGCGGAACCUCGUGCAGCUACCCACAGCUCCCUCCUUUGGAAACUCAUGCAUACUAAAGUGUAAAUGACUACAGCUUUCACUAAUUGAGACCAGUAAAAUGCCCUAACCCAGUGAAUGAAAUUCUACAAGUUACAAUGAACACAUC